CUCUGUCGCUGCCGGCCGUGGCCGGGAGAGGAAAGUCCGGGCAACGCAGAGCGCCGCGCAAGCUAAUGACUUGAUAUCCGUGAGGGUAUAGGAGCGUAACAGAAAAGAACCGCCCACAAGGGAUUUCCCGGCGGGUAAGGGUGAAAAGGCGGGGUAAGAGCCCACCGCGGGGGCAGCGAUGUCGCCCGGCAGUACGUCUCGCGGGUUGCAAGACCGUGUAUACCGGCAAUUAAGGGUUGCUCGCCCGAUGCCGGG
rnacentral:RNase_P_RNA from 1 species